GCUCUGCCCCUCCGCNAAAAAUAGAUCUUACUCUUUAAAUUUAUAAAAUUGGAUAAUAUAUGUAGAUUAUGUUUCAGUUAGAAAUUUGCCAACAUAACUGGGAACCUAUAAUACAAUAGAACCACCUUGAGUAAUUUUUAAAAUUCAAUUUGUAAUGGUUUAUCAUAAGAAAAAUUGAAAAGCAUUUAGCUAUUUCCUAGUAAGGACCAAUGCCAUAUAAAAUCUCUUGUUAUAAUUAUAACUUUUUUCCUUAAGGACAGCAAAUUAAUUAGAAAUCAAAACUUACUUACUUUCAAAGGAAGUAUAAAUGGAAUGGCUUCUUCCAUAAAAGCAAUAAUAUGGAAACUUUGAGAACAAUUAUAUCUUAUGCUUUUGAAAUGUUUUCUGGUGAGUAAAUUGAAUACAACAAUAAACAAAACAGAUUUUUUAUUAUUUAUUUUUUAUU
rnacentral:lncRNA from 1 species